AACCGUACCGCAAACCGACACAGGUGGGUGGGAUGAAAAUUCUAAGGCGCUUGAGAGAACUCGGGAGAAGGAACUCGGCAAAUUGAUACCGUAACUUCGGGAGAAGGUAUGCCUGGUAUUGUGAAGGAUUUACUCCGUAAGCAACGCCAGGCCGCAGAGAAUCGGUGGCUGCGACUGUUUAUUAAAAACACAGCACUCUGCUAACACGAAAGUGGACGUAUAGGGUGUGACGCCUGCCCGGUGCUGGAAGGUUAAUUGAAGAUGUGCAAGCAUCGGAUCGAAGCCCCAGUAAACGGCGGCCGUAACUAUAACGGUCCUAAGGUAGCGAAAUUCCUUGUCGGGUAAGUUCCGACCCGCACGAAUGGCGUAACGAUGGCCACACUGUCUCCUCCCGAGACUCAGCGAAGUUGAAAUGGUUGUGAAGAUGCAAUCUACCCGCUGCUAGACGGAAAGACCCCGUGAACCUUUACUGUAGCUUUGCAUUGGACUUUGAAGUCACUUGUGUAGGAUAGGUGGGAGGCUUUGAAGCACAGACGCUAGUCUGUGUGGAGCCGUCCUUGAAAUACCACCCUGGUGACUUUGAGGUUCUAACCCAGGUCCGUUAUCCGGAUCGGGGACCGUGCAUGGUAGGCAGUUUGACUGGGGCGGUCUCCUCCCAAAGAGUAACGGAGGAGUUCGAAGGUUACCUAGGUCCGGUCGGAAAUCGGACUGAUAGUGCAAUGGCAAAAGGUAGCUUAACUGCGAGACCAACAAGUCGAGCAGGUGCGAAAGCAGGACAUAGUGAUCCGGUGGUUCUGUAUGGAAGGGCCAUCGCUCAACGGAUAAAAGGUACUCCGGGGAUAACAGGCUGAUUCCGCCCAAGAGUUCAUAUCGACGGCGGAGUUUGGCACCUCGAUGUCGGCUCAUCACAUCCUGGGGCUGUAGUCGGUCCCAAGGGUAUGGCUGUUCGCCAUUUAAAGUGGUACGUGAGCUGGGUUUAAAACGUCGUGAGACAGUUUGGUCCCUAUCUGCAGUGGGCGUUGGAAAUUUGACGGGGGCUGCUCCUAGUACGAGAGGACCGGAGUGGACGAACCUCUGGUGUACCGGUUGUCACGCCAGUGGCAUAGCCGGGUAGCUAAGUUCGGAAGAGAUAAACGCUGAAAGCAUCUAAGCGUGAAACUCGCCUGAAGAUGAGAUUUCCCUUGUGGUUUAACCACACUAAAGAGUCGUUCGAGACCAGGACGUUGAUAGGUGGGGUGUGGAAGAGCGGUAACGCUUGAAGCUAACCCAUACUAAUUGCUCGUGAGGCUUGACUCU
rnacentral:rRNA from 1 species